rnacentral:rRNA from 1 species
AUGUGGGCUAGCAGAAGGAUUGGGGAGGGCGAACAACUGUACGUAGUCCACGUGCAGGGAGCCGCUGGCAUUGGUCUCCCGACUACGCUGCUGAUCAAGAAGUUCCAGAAUGCAAACCCAGCACUCCUAGUGGAUGACAAUGUCAAGAACCGCUGCAAGUCAGAGAUGAUCCUGUUAGCCAGCGUCUGUCAUGACAACAUCAUCAAUGUCCUGCACUUCAUCCAGAGGGAAGACGCGAUCAUGCUCGUCUAUGAGUACCCGGUGAAUGGCAGCCUUGACUACUGGCUGCACCGGCGGGAGGGGGGCGAGCAGCCACUGAGCUGGCCGCAGAGGAUUGCCAUCGCCGUCGGCAUGGCCCAAGGGCUCUGCCACUUGCACCACGGAUGCAACAGACCGGUUGUCCACCACAACAUCAACUCUAACAACAUCUUGCUUGAUCAAGAGCAGAAUGUGAAGAUCUCCAGUUUUGGUGCUGCGCAGAUGAGCAUUGCCGGGCUCAACCAACCAUUGCCGAUCGCGGAUAUUCCAGUUGGUAACUUUGGGUAUGCAGCCCCAGAGUAUGGCGUCGCGGCAAGCCAGCUGACAGAGAAGGUAGACAUUUACAGCUUCGGCGUGCUGCUGCUGGAGCUAGUCACAGGGAAGUUGGCCAAUGGAGCAGCAGAUGGUCUAUUGGCAAUUUGGGCUCAGGAUAACUGCAAUGAAUUGAUGGCAAACCAUCUGAAAAUGUUCAACACUGGCGUGGACAAGGGCAUCCCUCAUCAAGCGCGGUUCAUGGAGGAGAUGGCGGCCGUGUUCAGGCUGGGUGUGGAUUGUACCGUUGGGGAUCCAAAGCAAAGGCCGUCCAUGCAGAUGGCUCUCAAACGACUCCGCCGCAUCCGUGGGCGCGGCCCAUUCCUUGGCCUCCUCAACCUGUAA